GGUCUAAUAAGCGAGUUGAAUAUUGAGACUCAUUUGGCCGACUGCAGGCUCCAAGCUAAGGCUCUCUCCACCAAAAGGUGUUGGAUCCUGAAUCCCUGAUUCGCUAGAAAAUCCUGAAAUCCAGGGCUGCACUGGGUCUCAACCCAGAAUCCUUCUCUCUCGUCGGCUCUCUGUUUAAAGGGAUUUUUGUCUGGUGAAAUGUGUAGGUAUCAAGCCUGGGAAGAUGAUUCACUACAGAGCGAAGAUUUUAUACAAAGUACUCCAGAUGGCGUAGAUGUUACAGGGACAAGGUGGGCAGCGAGACUGGCAAAUUUGGAAGAGCGGAUGACAAGAGUGGAGGCUAGGGUGGAAAGACUCGAGGCAAGGAUGUUAUAUCUGCAAAAAGGAAUGCGUGUUGUUUGCGUGCUGUUUCUGGUCACUCUUGUGUAUGCAAUAUGCAAGUAGAUGGUAGGAAUGAUUUGCUGAUCAGUCUGCUGUAUACUCUCACUUCUACUAGAAUAAUGAUGAAUCUAUGAAAUGCAGAAGCAAGUAAUGGUAGGCUUGGAAAUAUGGAAAAUGUAUUUUCUAUGGAUUCUCUAGUACACUUUUACUUUGGCAAAUGCUAGAACCUUAUGUUUGGAGUCAGUACAGUUUGAAGAAACCUGAAUAUAGUUACAAUCUUGCUUGGAA